rnacentral:rRNA from 1 species
AGAGUUUGAUCAUGGCUCAGAAUCAACGCUGGCGGCAUGCCUAACACAUGCAAGUCGAGCGAGAAAGUGUAGCAAUACAUGAGUAAAGCGGCGCACGGGUGAGUAACACGUGGAUAACCUGCCUCAAAGUGGGGAAUAACACCGGGAAACCGGUGCUAAUACCGCAUAUUCUGAUGAGAUCUGCGGAUUUUGUCAGGAAAGGAGCAAUUCGCUAUGAGAGGGGUCCGCGGCUGAUUAGCUAGUUGGUGAGGUAAUGGCUCACCAAGGCUUCGAUCAGUAGCCGGUCUGAGAGGACGGUCGGCCACACUGGAACUGAGACACGGUCCAGACUCCUACGGGAGGCAGCAGUGGGGAAUUUUUCGCAAUGGGGGAAACCCUGACGAAGCAAUGCCGCGUGGAUGAUGAAGUAUCUCGGUACGUAAAAUCCUUUCGACGGGGACGAAGCCGCAAGGUGACGGUACCCGAGAAGAGCCC